CCUCCUUUAAGAUACCUCACUCGGGAUGACCUUUUCUAGUUCCCGCAUUUGCCUGCAAUUUUCAUGCAACACACUUCUAAAGGAGCUCCUACGGAGAAGAGACUGAGAAUAGAGGAGACUGCAGAAUGAGUCUUCAAAAUUUGAGGGUGAACUCUCCCCUCUUGCAAGAAGAGGAGCAGGAACUCGCUGCAAUGGAAUGAAGCCACCACCAGAGGGUAGUGAAGGACCAGGAUCCUGAGAUCCCAUCCUGUUCCAGCUUCAUUUCAAAGAUCUGGGAGAACCUUGCCCAACCAUGGUGUUGUGUUGCAAGAAUCAGAGCUUCUGAUGGCUGUAAGGUGAAACCUCAGGGUUGUUUUGAUUUGCAUCUCCCUGAUAGCUAAGGAUGUUGAGCAUCUCUUUAACUGUAUCUCUGUCAUUCUAUAUUCCUCUACAGAGAAUUCUCUGUUUAGCUCCU